GGCAAACUACAUAGGCGAUUGUAAUCGCGCAGGUGUCUCAGAUUAUAUGAUAAAUUAUAAAUUGUUAUCAUCAAUUUGUCUGCGCUUCGAUUCCGAGCAAACGUGUCGUGAAUUCAUUGCGCUUGAUUGACUAUCGUUGUCUCUGUCUGUCCCGAAAUCGACUCACACAUGCGCAAAGUUCGUUCACACGUUAAAAAUUUAAACAAAGAAUUUGAUUUUCGAAAAGCGUGGAACGUGUUGAUUCUAUUCGAAGUCGGAAGUGAGGAUCGGGCUCAGUAACGCAAGUGAGUUAUCAACAUUUCUCACGGUUAGUUGCCAUCGGUGUGUGUCGAGUCCAUCUUUGUUUCCGCGCUGGUGUGUGCGCGUACGCACGCUAUCUGCGCGCGGCUGUGUGCGUGAGCUGAGAGCAAUGAGACGCAAGCGCUUCCUAGCGCGAGCUGCACCCACAGCCCAGAGACAAAUCAUUCAGAGAUUUGCAUGAAAACGCAAGGAAUAGUUUAUUAUAAUCGUAAUGUUUAUUAACAAGGUGCAAUAAACUUAGCUACGAGAAAUUCAUGAUGCUUCCUUUAACCUGAUUCUAUGUAUUUCUAAUAAUAUUUAAAUUAACUUGAAAUUUUAUAUUUGAUUGUGCAAUAAACUAUACUAGAGUU